rnacentral:rRNA from 1 species
AAUGCCUAGGAAUCUGCCUAGUGGUGGGGGAUAACGUUCGGAAACGGACGCUAAUACCGCAUACGUCCUACGGGAGAAAGCGGGGGACCUUCGGGCCUCGCGCCAUUAGAUGAGCCUAGGUCGGAUUAGCUAGUUGGUGAGGUAAAGGCUCACCAAGGCGACGAUCCGUAACUGGUCUGAGAGGAUGAUCAGUCACACUGGAACUGAGACACGGUCCAGACUCCUACGGGAGGCAGCAGUGGGGAAUAUUGGACAAUGGGGGAAACCCUGAUCCAGCCAUGCCGCGUGUGUGAAGAAGGUCUUCGGAUUGUAAAGCACUUUAAGUUGGGAGGAAGGGUAGUAACUUAAUACGUUGCUACUUUGACGUUACCGACAGAAUAAGCACCGGCUAACUCUGUGCCAGCAGCCGCGGUAAUACAGAGGGUGCAAGCGUUAAUCGGAAUUACUGGGCGUAAAGCGCGCGUAGGUGGUUUGUUAAGUUGGAUGUGAAAGCCCCGGGCUCAACCUGGGAACUGCAUCCAAAACUGGCAAGCUAGAGUACGGUAGAGGGUGGUGGAAUUUCCUGUGUAGCGGUGAAAUGCGUAGAUAUAGGAAGG